UACGUAGGGUGCGAGCGUUGUCCGGAGUUAUUGGGCGUAAAGGGCUCGUAGGCGGUCUGUUGCGUCGGGAGUGAAAACUCAGGGCUUAACCCUGAGCCUGCUUCCGAUACGGGCAGACUAGAGGUAUGCAGGGGAGAACGGAAUUCCUGGUGUAGCGGUGAAAUGCGCAGAUAUCAGGAGGAACACCGGUGGCGAAGGCGGGUCUCUGGGCAACAACUGACGCUGAGGAGCGAAAGCGUGGGGAGCGAACAGG
rnacentral:rRNA from 1 species